GCUCUGAAUAUCUAUGGCUAGAUAAAGUACAAGUCGUAACAAGGUUUCAGUUGGAGAACCAGCUGAAGGAUCAUUUUCAGUUUUUAGGGGGUGGAUAUCGGAAUGUAUUGUGGGGGAUGUGUGUGUGUAUGAGGUUGUAGAGGAGAAGAGUAGCGUGAUGCUGUGUGUAGAUGCGAGAGUGUAUCCGUAAGCGUGGGGGAUGUGGCCAUAGUGAGUUAGAGGUGGUUCCAUGUGGAAUAGUGGGAUUGGUACGUAAUGGUUUGAUGGGGCAUGGUGUGUGUAUGGGUGAGAAAAAUCGGAGGUUGCGGUGCGAGCGGUAGUAGGGUGCCAUCAAGAGGUGUAUUUGGAAAUAUCCCUAAUACAGGAUCACUUGGAUCCG
rnacentral:misc_RNA from 1 species